GAUGACAAGGGGAUGAAGAGCGA
rnacentral:piRNA from 1 species